UAAACAAGUCACUAGUUUUAAGCAUGCUGUCUGGCAUUUUGAGGGUAUGAGAUUUUCCUGAACCACCUAUGCCUCAAUGUUGCAAGACCCCACAUAUCUGUGUUUCAGUUUACAGGUAUAUAAUGCACAGAAAUGUAUGCCAAAAAUCAGGUUUGGUAAUAUUCAUAGUUCAUUGGAAAUGUGUGGUUACAUCAAAAAUGUAAAUGAAUACAAGCUUUAUGGCAAUGAAGCUUGGUCUUCCAAGGUCUAGAAUAGUCUUUCUCAACCUUUUGGCCCUGGAGGAACCCAGGGCCAAAAUAUAUUUCAGGCCUUGGGGAACCCCUGCACGUUCAGGCUCAAAUAUAGGCCAGAAGUUACAAAAUUAUUAUAUUUGUUUCAUGUGUAGGCCUGUAUAUAUGCAUUAAUAAUGUUCUUAAACUAAAAAUAAAGAAUGAAACUUUCCUCUUUAAUGUGAAGUUGCCCGAAUUUGAAAUAAAAUUGUGAUCUCCCAGGGAACCCCAUGUGACCUCUCAUAGAACCCUAGGGUUCCAGGGAACCCUGGUUGAGAAACCUUGCUCUAGAAAAAGGCUCAGAAUUAAAUAAAAACUGAACAUAUAACUAAUGGUAGAGAUUUUUUAAAAGCUGGAUUUCUUUUUCCAGGAAUCUUAAUUCUAUCCAGAGAUGUCACCCUUGAGAGUCCCCUUCUCUUACAGGAAAGGAAGUCUAGAGCACCCCAUCUUCGGUGGUGGCUACCUGCCAAGAACAAGGCAGUUUUGCAAAGAGCAGCUUCUCUACUCUAAAACUACCACAACCCACAGUCAUGCUUUGUCACCUUACAACUAUUUAAUUUGCUCUAUAUCAGGUUGUCCCUGAAGACUGUCUCGCAGCUUCAGCUGGUCCAGCAAGCAAUGGCAUGGAUAUUUUCAGGUCUGUUGAAUCACAAUCGACUGAAGACCAGCACUUCUGAAGGAUAGGAAAAAAAUCAAUAUCAGCCGUCAAGGGAGAGAUCAAUCUGAACUUGUUUCCACAAUUGCUUUGAAUGUGCUUUAAAGGACACUGCAGCAGCAGAACAAAGGAAUAGCCUAACCAAGCCAAAGGAUCUGGUGUUGGAAAGGAAAGGAAAUGAUCCCAGCUUGCAUCUUAUUACUAAUAUAUUUAAUCUGAACUGAACUCUCUAUUUUACAGUAAUCAGACAGUGGGAGGAAGGAGUGAAAAAAACAGGCUAGCCAAGUGAUAUAAUCAUACACUUGGAGCAGCCAAAUAAUUGGCUGCUAUGGCAUUUUCCACUAAGUGGGAGAAAUAAGACUGAAGAGAUCAUUUCAGUAACCUGGUUAUUAGUGGUUAGGAACUGAUUUGAUAGCAAAAGAGCAGUGUAAGCUACAGUAACAUUAUGGACACUGGAAACUUUUUUUUGUUCUAGAAGGACAUCACCUUUAGGAUUUAAUUUCUCACCCCAAGCUAUACUUUCAUAAUUCAAAAAAGUAAGGAGAAUGUACUUUAAAAUAACAACCAGUGAUCAUAAAACCACUGGGAGACUGAUCAUGUUUGUAUUAGGAAGUCAUUUAUAAAACUCAAAAUGUGGAUCUAGUUCAAGAAAUAGAUCAUGUAGUACAGGAGACCAAUUAUAGGAAAAGCAAAUAUAGAUUGGUUCAGAUGUAGCACCAAACCAUGAUUUAUCAUUGCAGGAACCAGUGGUGGCAUGUCUUAGCCUGGUCUAUUGUCUCGGUCACUUCCUUUGUGAAGUAGGGCAUGACCCUGGUUUACAGGCAAGCUAUGAUUUGUGCACACCAGUGAUCAAAUGUUUGGAUACCAUGACAAAGGAUAGUUUUAUGCAAAUUAAAACCAAAUGCCUCCUAGAGCAGAGAAAAAAACAAAUCAAAGCUUGUUGCCACUUUUUUUUCUAGCAAGCCAUAAUUUAUUAUCAUGUCUGAAUGUCAUAUCCAAAAUGCUAUCUGUACUUGUUUGGCAUAAGUGACUUAGUCAUGACAAUUAUCUAUGAACUCAUGAAACAAAAAAGGAAGGAACCGCUGUGUCAGUUACAGUGUGUCAGAAUAAAUAAUUCCUCACUUCGAACUCUUGUCUGUAGAAAAAAAGAAGCAGAUUAGAUUGGACUAGGUUAAUUUUGCUGAGAUUGACCUCUUCAGCAAUUUCUUGGUUAAGAUUAAUUUAUGCUAUUAAUUUAUUAAUUCUGUGUUACAUUAAGUUAUUCAGUCCCUGAAAUAAUUUUUUGAAUAAUAGCUUAAUGUCAAUUAAAUUGUCCAUUCAAUUAAAAGUAGACAAAAAUA